rnacentral:rRNA from 2 species
AAGUCUGAUGGAGCAACGCCGCGUGAGUGAAGAAGGUUUCGGCUCGUAAAACUCUGUUGUUAAAGAAGAACAUAUCUGAGAGUAACUGUUCAGGUAUUGACGGUAUUUAACCAGAAAGCCACGGCUAACUACGUGCCAGCAGCCGCGGUAAUACGUAGGUGGCAAGCGUUGUCCGGAUUUAUUGGGCGUAAAGCGAGCGCAGGCGGUUUUUUAAGUCUGAUGUGAAAGCCUUCGGCUUAACCGAAGAAGUGCAUCGGAAACUGGGAAACUUGAGUGCAGAAGAGGACAGUGGAACUCCAUGUGUAGCGGUGAAAUGCGUAGAUAUAUGGAAGAACACCAGUGGCGAAGGCGGCUGUCUGGUCUGUAACUGACGCUGAGGCUCGAAAGUAUGGGUAGCAAACAGGAUUAGAUACCCUGGUAGUCCAUACCGUAAACGAUGAAUGCUAAGUGUUGGAGGGUUUCCGCCCUUCGUGCUGCAGCUAACGCAUUAAGCAUUCCGCCUGGGGAGUACGGCCGCAAGGCUGAAACUCAAAGGAAUUGACGGGGGCCCGCACAAGCGGUGGAGCUGUGGUU